ensembl:lncRNA
UGGAUGGAUGGAUGGAUGGAUGGAUGGAUGGAUGGAUGUUGUGUGGUUCCAACUGAACUCUGUCCUUGCCAGUGGGACUCGGGUCAGGGUGCCUUUCAGAGGUGUGGGUGGAUCUGGGGGGGAUAAACACCCUCACAGUGAAGCUCCGCUCUGGCUAAAGGUGAGAAGGAUGCAGACAGCAUGUCAUGGAGAAGUAACAUGUGUGUCUGCAUCCCAUCCUGGACCCACAGUGGAGUUCCACAGUGACAAGGACCAGAGUUCAGGGGAAUCACACUGGGAGGGGGGAGGAAGAUUUCACGGGCCGCCGCACAAUGGUGGCCCGUGACAAGCCCCAGCUUCUGAUGGCCCCAGGACUCAAAACUGAAAGAAGGACAAGAAGAAGACCCAAAGAUGAGACCCAGCUCCAGCAGACCCGUGAAGACGAGGAACCGACCCACCAGAGACGACCCUAGAGAGGCCAACCAGCCUGCAAUGAGAUGACGGGACAACUUCAUAAGGAGCAGAAUGCACUGCUGCUUCCUGGUCACCAAAUGAUUCCAACAGGGAUGGAUCAUCGAGGAGAAAUAAGCCAUUUUGAAGAAAAGAUGAUGGGAAACAUGUCCAGGACCAGUGCAUGAGACGUGAGACCAUUCAACUAAUACAAGAGCUCUCUCUCCAAGACACCCGCUAAAAUGUAGGAUCAGAUCAAGACAAGAAACUGGAUAAGGAGCAGCCCCAGCAUUUGAACUCAGACUAGGGAAGAGGGGAUGCUGCUUAUAGUGACGCAAAAGGAGGAAGUCGGAGUACAAAGAGAAAACCCCACACAGUCACAGAGACAACAUGGACGGAAAGAACCAGACGACCAGCAGAAGACAAAGAAACAGUUCGAGGAGCCUCAGGACGAUCGACAACAGAAGAAACGUGUCCGAGAACAGGAAGAAGAUGACCAACAGCAUCAAACAGAGAAGAAGAAGAAGAAACAGACCCCGGAAGAAGAAGAAAAAGAAGAAGAAGAGAAGCUCCAGAUUACUCCAAAGGUGGAAGCUGAAUUAGUGAGGAUGACUCCUGCUCCUGUCAUCUCUAAGCUCCUCACACAUCUUUACCUGCACAUGAGGAAAAUCACUCCUGUAGAAUGCAGAUGUUCAGAGGGAGAUGAUGCCACAUCUGGUCCAGCUGAUGGAAGGUCUUGAAGUUCUCUGACUGGCCUCGACUGAAGAUGGUCGUCUCACUGGAUUUAAGAUGCACAAUGAGGGUCGUCAUUUGAUCUGGAACAGGAAUUCAAUAACGGCAGCAUGAGCUUCAUUUCAGUCUGUAGCUGCUGAAUUCAUGGAUGAAUCAUCUGGCACUAGAGAAGAAGACCAUCAAACAUCCACGUCAGCUGAUGGAGGUCCAAGAGUCUCACCAAACAAACAACCUACAGAGUGAAGACCUCAAAUCUGAUUGGACGGCCUCCUAUUCAGCCACAUGUGUGAACAAAUGCCUCUAAGCUGAUUUGUUUUCUACAAUAAAUCUAGUUUGAGUCCUAAUCUAUGCCUGUGUUUGCUUCUUUACACCGCUGUUAACAGUUUAGGCUGUUAGAUUGUUCCAGAUAAGACAAGUACAAGAUUCUUCAGAGCCGUUCUACCACGAGCCUGACAGGAAGAACUCCAACAGCUACUGAAUGUUCCUGUGGUUCCCUCAAGGCUACAGGAGGAGUCCUACGAGGACGAGCCGGUCCACCUGAUGGCGGCCAGUCGCUGCGGUUCAAAGCCAACACCGACUACAUGGACUUCUACUGGACCACAUGGAGGCCUUCAAACCAGACCAACGAGUUCAGCGACUCCCCGACUCGUGAGUCUGAGGACGCCGCCGAGCCUCGGUCCAGCCGGCCUCCUGUCUGUGGGUGUUUGAGUGCUGAGAGGUUUAUGGAUGCAUGUGAAUGUGUCUGUGUUGAAACAGCAGCUUUGGACUCAGUAACGCCGGGAAAAACCAAGAGCUCCUUUAUUUGGGACUUCCACUAAAAAAAUGAUGAAAAUAAGUUUGCCAGGGUUCUGACUGAUAACA